GCCUCCAGAUUUCAGCUGUGCUGGCAGCGAAGGCCACUCUGAGAGAUGGGCAGCAUGGCUUCUGUGUGUGCCAUUCAUCAGAGCCAGCACUAAAGGGAGCCGAGUGUGGGUUUCAACCUUCUGUACCUGGUGUGGACUGCCUUCAUGCUGAGAUGCAGUGUGACCGGCUGCCUAAUGUUCCUACUGCCAUGCCUCCCUUGCCAUGGUGGAUUGUAUCCUUUCUUGAAUGGUGACAGCAGAUACUGGCAAGGAUGUGGAGAAAGAGGAAUACUUCUCCAUUGCUGGUGGGAUUGCAAGCUUGUGCAGCCACUCUGGAAAUCAGUCUGGCUGUUUCUCAGAAAAUUGGACAUAGUACUACUGGAAGAUCCAGCAAUUCCUCUCCUGCGCAUAUACCCAGAAGAUGUUCCAACUGGUAAUAAGGACACAUGCUCCACUGUGUUCAUAGCAGUCUUAUUUAUAAUAGCCAGACGCUGGAAAGAACCCAGAUGUUCCUCAACAGAGGAAUGGAUACAGAAAAUGUGGUACAUUUACACAAUGGAGUACUACUCAGCUCUUAAAAACAAUGAAUUUAUGAAAUUCUUGGGCAAAUGGAUGUAUUUGGAGGAUAAUUUUAUUGUUUGUUGAUACUGUUGGUAGGGUUUGUUGUUUUUGUUGUUGCUGCUAUUGUUGCUGUUUUCUAUGUGUGUGUUUGUGUGUGUGUGUUUUCCUUAUUUGGCUGGUUAGUUUUAGUACCAGGGUCUUGCUAUGUAGCUGAGCAUGACUUUGUCUCACCUUUACCUUCUGGUGGGUUGAAUUACAGAAUUACGUAAUUCUGAGGAUCAAAUAUGUGGCCUUGAUAAUGGCAUCCUGACUUUGCCAAUUGUCUUAAAAUAUUUGUCCAUUUGUUUCUUAAUGGCUACAUUUUAUUGGUCUUUCCCAUCAUUCUACUUUCAUUACUUAUUCUAAUAACUGGGCAGUGGUGGCUCAUGCCUUUAAUCUCAGCACUUGGGAGGGAGAGGCAGGCAGAUUUAUGAGUUCAAGGACAGCCUGGUCUACAGAGUGAGUUCCAGGACAGCCAGGGUUAGACAAAGAAGCCUUGCCCACCCACACCCCUGAAUAAACAAACAAACAAAAUAAUUCAGAAUAUAACUAUCCAUUUUGUUCUGCAAUAUUAAAGUGGUACAUCUUGUUGGCCCAUUCACAUAUUUUUCCAUCCCUCCAUUGCUGGCUCAGUUCUCUUUCCCACAAGCAUUCCUGACCCCAUCAGAACUUUCACACCAGGCACUUUCAAAUUUUAUUUCCUAUUAUGUUAUUGUUUGUGGUCAUUCACUUUACUGAUAGCCUGUGAAGUUAUAUGUGUUCUCAUUCCUUGCACACUUACAUGGAAAAUUCCCAUUCUAGAUAAACAGACCCAGAAAUAUGGAAAAAAAUCAAGUCCAUCUUUCUACAUAACCAUUGCAACUUCUGACUUUAGUUUCACACUUAAUUUCAGAAAGGGUUGCUUGAAUUUGCUGUUCCUACUUCUUUCUCUCUCGUUCAUGGAAUGAUGUCCUAUAUUGUGCAUUUCUGCCCUACUCUAUUACAAAGCUUUGUUGCAAAGGUAGCUAGCUAAUGAUGCACUCCUUUAAUAUGAGAGAUAAUCUCAAGGUUCAGUGUAUACUGUAGUACCUCUUUAGAAAUAUUGUCUCCCCCCUUGCUUUCCAUAGCAUCUUUUCAAUCCAUAUAUCUCCUAUCACUUUGUCUAUUCCUUCUCAGCCUCCUUCCUGGCUGCUCUUCUCCCUGAUAACUAAAGAAUGGCACCACUCACAGUGUUCUCUGUUCAGGACUUUAUCUUCUAUUUCUCUGUCCCAUCUUCUUUCACAAACUCAUUUACCAUCUUUGCUUCAGUUACUCUCUAGAAGUCAGUGAUUACAAAGUUAUUCAUUUGGCCCAGAUUUUUGAGGUUCAGGCUGCCAAUGAGACACUCUUAUAAAUCUAUCUAUUGUGGUUAACUUAAAGCCAUUUGGGGAUGAACAUAACUGGAAACAUCACAAGCCAGACUCAGAAGAAUCAUUCUUGGACCUCCUUGUUCACAUUUUUAUUGGCUCCACCCAAUUGUUUUCUGGAGCCAUACUAGAAUUCUUAUAUUUGCCUCCAUCUCAUUCUUAGGCCUAUACAUAUGUAUUCUCUUCUUACUUCUGAUUUGACGUAAAAAUUUCCAAUUUUGUCUUUGGAUAUCCUCCCUUCCUUUUCACAUCCAUCAACCAACUACAGGUAUUAUUAACAGUAGCCAUUGCACUUAGAUGGGAUAUCUGCUUUCUUCCAUUUGUGACUUUCCUUUCUGCCUUGCACUGGUCUGAUCCUGAUUCAUUCUUUUCUCCCUAUGCCGCAGUUACUACACUGUCUGCUUUUUAGUUCCUCAAAGGUGACAGCUAGUUCUCCAUCUCAGGAAAUUGGCUAUGCACUUUUGCUUUCUAAAUUCAAAUUCUGCUAUUGCUGAAUCUCAAUCUUUACAUUACCAUUUCCUCCUUACCUAGAUGAUAUUUGGAAGAUUUCCUGUCACAUGUAAGAUUUGGGGAAACCUGUGCCUUUCUUCUUAGAACACUCAGAUGAACUUGCAAUGACAGCAGAGUGUAGGUGUAAACUUCACGAUCCCUGUCACCCACCAACAAGAUUCUUGGAGCAGAAAUAUUAGCUAAGUAAAGAGUGUGGUUUAUAUUAAACUCCACUAACUAAGGACAAAAGUUAUUUUCCUCAAGCGUGUCCUUUGCUGCCAUUAUUUGUAUCAAUUUUAGUUUAUGCCUAAGAAAUUAUUACAGUGAUGCAUCCCAAAUCAGACUUCCACACUUCCUAAUGACACCACAUACUAUAUAGUAUUGAUGGUGGCAGAAAAGUGCAUCAAGCCUCAAAACAAAGGUUCAAGAAGUACAGUUCGAUGUUUUCUCUACUUUCUAAUAAGGGAAGAGGUCAAGUCAUGAAACGAAAUUUAAAUGACAAUAGAAGAAUAUGAGAAGCCUCAAAACAAGCUCAACCUCAUUCUGAAAGAAAAGUUCACACUCUCAGAUGGGCAGACGUAUCCCACCACGCUGCACCUCACUCCCUUUUCCACACAGUAACAUUAUAAUAGCCAGAGGGAACUGGGCAGAGGGUAGCUUUGCUGUGUGUUUCAAGAUCCUUCUAUCUCAAGAAGGAAAUCUGGUGUGUGCCUCUGAAUGAUGGGGCCUGCAUUGCAUGCCUCUCAGAUAACUAACUGGAAACAUGUACUCAUAAAUAUUAGGACCUGUUGUAUUGAUUCACAAGGCCAUAUUUAGAAAACAAACACACUUCUGAUUAGAAAUGAUCACACAGCUGGUCCUAAACAGGUGGCUAUCAGAGGAAUCUGUGGAUAUUUAUGACUUUAGAGGGGCAAGCUUUGUCUCUUAAGAAGUCUCAACUGUUCUUGGAGUAAAGCGAUUUAAAGGCAGCGUUUGCUUGACUUCUUGCUGGUUUGUUGACCUAUUCUACUCAAAAUACCAAAUGACACAUUCCAUUUCUUUCUACCUUAAAUGUAUAUCACACUUUACACAAGGGAGGGGGGAUACGUCUCUAGCUAAUUUUCCUUAAACAAUGUAAAUGCUGAAUUCUGUCAAUAAAAAUCUUUAUGAUC
rnacentral:lncRNA from 1 species